GCCUUCGUGGUGUAGUGGUCAGCACGCUCGACGCGCAACUGAGAGGUUGUGGUUCGAUUCCCGGCGAAGGCU
rnacentral:tRNA from 1 species